GACGAACGCUGGCGGCGUGCUUAACACAUGCAAGUCGAACGGAAAGGCCCUGCUUUUGUGGGGUGCUCGAGUGGCGAACGGGUGAGUAACACGUGAGUAACCUGCCCUUGACUUUGGGAUAACUUCAGGAAACUGGGGCUAAUACCGGAUAGGAGCUCCUGCUGCAUGGUGGGGGUUGGAAAGUUUCGGCGGUUGGGGAUGGACUCGCGGCUUAUCAGCUUGUUGGUGGGGUAGUGGCUUACCAAGGCUUUGACGGGUAGCCGGCCUGAGAGGGUGACCGGCCACAUUGGGACUGAGAUACGGGCCAGACUCCUACGGGAGGCAGCAGUGGGGAAUAUUGCACAAUGGGCGGAAGCCUGAUGCAGCAACGCCGCGUGCGGGAUGACGGCCUUCGGGUUGUAAACCGCUUUCGCCUGUGACGAAGCGUGAGUGACGGUAAUGGGUAAAGAAGCACCGGCUAACUACGUG
rnacentral:rRNA from 1 species